AGAUAUGCUCGUAUAGUAGCGAGCAAUUAAAUCAAAAGAAAUACUAGCGUGGA
rnacentral:ncRNA from 1 species